GUGGGGAAUCUUCCGCAAUGGACGAAAGUCUGACGGAGCAACGCCGCGUGAGUGAAGAAGGUUUUCGGAUCGUAAAGCUCUUUCGUUAGGGACGAACGUGCUCUUUGUGAAUAAUGAGGAGUAAUGACGGUACCUAAAUAAGAAGCCACGGCUAACUACGUGCCAGCAGCCGCGGUAAUACGUAGGUGGCAAGCGUUGUCCGGAAUUAUUGGGCGUAAAGCGCGCGCAGGCGGGAUAUCAAGUCUGUCUUAAAAGUGCGAGGCUCAACCUCGUGAGGGGACAGAAACUGGUAUUCUUGAGUGUCGGAGAGGAAAGUGGAAUUCCAAGUGUAGCGGUGAAAUGCGUAGAGAUUUGGAAGAACACCAGUGGCGAAGGCGACUUUCUGGACGAUGUCUGACGCUGAGGCGCGAAAGCUAGGGGAGCGAACGGGAUUAGAUACCCCGUAGUCC
rnacentral:rRNA from 1 species